GGACAGUUUCAGAGUUGUUGAUCUACAACCCUUUUGGAUGAAAUCAAGCCAGAAGAUGUGUUUCAGAGCUGAAUAUUUGGGGAAGAAGCUAAAAGCCUUUGUUCUCAGAGAAAUGCAAGAGCUGCAAUUACACCAAGCCUCUUAUGGAGUAUCCUGGUGGGAAGAGGGCCUUUGUGCAAUGUCCUUUUCCGCACAUCCAAGCAGAAGUUAGGCAUAAUACAUUUCACAAUGAGGAUGCUGAAUUCCCCUGCUACUUCAGCAGAACAAAUCAGGAUGCAUACUUCCAUCCUGCAUAUCAGGAUAAAAGAGAUCAGUGCUGGAGACAAGAGAGAAAUUAGGUAAACUCUCUGUAGUGAGAAAAAUGUGAUGGGGAAACCCCAUUGUCUGCUGAAGAAAAUUCACUGUUCUUUCUGUCAGAAAUUAAAUCUUAUGAUUAUCAAAUACGCUUGAUAAACAGAA